rnacentral:tRNA from 1 species
GGUACUGUACUUUAUUAUAGAAGGUCUGGUUUGCAACUAGAGAGAAGACACUUGUCUCAGAACCA